rnacentral:rRNA from 1 species
CCUACGGGUGGCAGCAGUGGGGAAUAUUGCGCAAUGGGCGCAAGCCUUACCCAGCAAUACCGCGUGAGUGAAGAAGGUCUUCGGAUUGUAAAGCUCUUUCAUCAGGGACGAACAGAUGACGGUACCUGAAGAACAAGCCCCGGCUAACUACGUGCCAGCAGCCGCGGUAAAACGUAGGGGGCGGGCGUUGUCCGGAAUGACUGGGCGUAAAGGGUGCGUAGGCGGCAUAAUAAGUUAGAAGGGGAAUACCCAGGGCUUAACCGGGGAGCUGCUUCUUAGACUGUUGAGCUUGAGUGCGGGAGAGGUGAAUGGAAUUCCAGGUGUAGCGGUGGAAUGCGUAGAUAUUAGGAGGAACACCAGAGGCGAAGGCGAUUAACUGGACCGAAACUGACGCUGAGGCACGAAAGUGUGGGUAGCAAACAGGAUUAGAUACCCGGGUAGUC